CUAAGGACUGCCACCUGCUUUAGGAAAUUAACAGAGGAAGAAAACACACACCAGAGCAGCUCACUUUGACACUGAGACAGACACUGGUUUAGGACAUGCAGGAGCUGUUUAAUAACACAGAGAAUUUCUUUCUCUGCUGAAGCCACAAAGGCAGUGGGCAGGGGGAUGGUGCAGGGAAUUAGCCAGUGGGGAUAACCCAUUUGUUCUUGUAAAAAGAACUGGGGAAUAACUGUGUCCAGCUUCUGCUUUAUUUAUAUUAGUUGAAAGAUUUUCAUUUUCACAGAGACCCUCAGAGCUCUCAUUUCUCUCCAAGAAGUGUGACAGGACCUCCCUGCCAUCUUCCAGACACACAUGCAUUUGCUCUCCCAGUUUUCUCUCUGCAGUCUGUACUGGUUGGAGAUUUGCUGGAAGUUGUAGGGUCUUCAUAGUUGUCUAUGGCUAAGGCACCAAAUCAAAGAUGGAUUAGGAAAAGCUUUGUUUAAACAUUACUUGCGCUGAAUUUGAUCUUGUCUUUUUUUUAAGGCCAGACUGCAGAUGCCCAGACAGACAGAAGUGGUCCACGCUCCACCAGGUACUGACAUCACCCUGGUGUGCAUGUUCCCAAAAUUGCACAGCACCCACAUCAUACAGACACAGUGGUCCAAGACUGACGGCAGCCCCUUUACCAAAAUAGCUGUAAAUCACCCCACCUAUGGCACCCAUUACUUCAAGUUUUCUGAGGCUCCUUACAACUUUUCAGUGUCCUUCAGCACAAGGAUACGCUGCAGUGGUGAUGACACAGGGUCCUCGUGUUCCACCAAUCCAAAUGCCAUGUCUGAAUGCAAUUGGUGGUGCUGCACCUGGAAAAUAUUACCGUGUCCCUUACUGGGCAGUACGAAUGCAUUUUUGCUACCUACCCAUAUGGAACAAAGGCUGCAAAAAUUCAACUUACUGUCAAGGCAGAAGGAUGAAGAUGGGUGGGAAGAGGAACUUGUGACCAAGGAGCCCUCCUGUCCUGCUGUGUACAGGAACAGCAGCAUGCUGUACGGGCAAAAAGUCCUCCUGAGUUUGAACAACACCCUAAAGGUUUUCCCCACCAAAAUCACUUAUGAUGGCAGUCUUUUCCUGCCAUGUGCUGUACCACCCAGACAGAGUCCAGAAGAGCAGCACCAUUGUGAGGGUAUUUGGUAAGGGGCUUAUGCCAACUGCCUGCUGCCUUGCACUUGGAAAGGUGACACUCCUGCCUGGUUCUGAAGCCAAUAACUUUUGACAGACACUCUGGUUUUUUAAAUGUAAACAUAUUCGCCUGGUCAUUUUUUUCAGCUGCAAUGACAUAAAAAGUUAGCAAAUGGUGGAGUUUACUCGAUUCUUAGAAGAAUUUGAGUCCCUUCCUUCAAUUUCUGGCAAGAAAAAAUAGUAGGUUCAUUGCAUAUAUAUCAAUCUCACUGUCAUGCACAUGGCAAGACUCUUACCUUGAUAUGUAGGCUUAUGUUGGGAUUCUGUGUGUUAUAGGGAAGCACACUGGUCAUCAAGAUCUCCGUGUCCCAAUGACCAUGCUGUCUGUGGUCAGGAAAUCAUAGCUGUAAUUUAGUAAGCAGUUUGGAACUACAGUUGUAGCAAAAUCACAUCCUCAAAUGCAUGUGACAUUCAACUGCUGCCAAAAUGAGGAAAUGAGUGUCUGGAAAUGAGGAUCCUGGUGGGGGGGUCUCAAAUUGGCCAGGAGUGGCAGAGCCUGUGUACUGCAGACACGUGGGCUGGCAUUUCAUUUUUUGUAAGCCUUCCCCAUCUUUAGUUACUUGCCCUGUCCCAUUUCAAAUUGCUUAGGAACCACUCUACUAUCAGGAACCACUCUACUAUAAGGUACAACUGAAUCAGAAAAUUGCUACCGACUUGAAAACCAGGCUUUAUUUUCUCUUUAGAGAUCAUUUGGUCAGGAAAACAUAUUUCCAAAGCUUUGAAAGUAAAUGAGUAUUAAACACUGGGCCUGUCAACAGUCCCUUGACUGUAGCUGAUUGUCCGAGGAAGUCCACAGCUUGAGGAUGGCAUGGUCAUUUAAGGCUGAUGCUCUGAAGUCAAAGGAAAGUUCAACAGGGAGCAGCUGAAAAAAGCAAAUGUAUCUGAAGGUUGUUGGUCACUGAUGUAAAAGGAAU
rnacentral:lncRNA from 1 species